GCCUGCUCUCAUUUCACUUUGGUCAAUUGGUUCACUAAGUUUUGGUCAAUUUUUGGGCAUAGUUCCUCAAUGAAAAUUGUGUCAUUUUAUGUCUAUUUUCAUCCCCAAUUGGUGGCAUAUCAAUUGGACUUGUAAAAUUUCAUUUUUGGUCCUUCAAAGUUGACUUGGUCAUGCUGCCAGAAGCAUGACCAUAUACCCUCCGAAUUUGGC
rnacentral:misc_RNA from 1 species